GGAUAUCCGAGACACCAAAUAUCCAUGUGGCUAAGGAUCAAAUGGACACAAAUGCCUCCAAAUAUCCGAAAAUUCGAUCCUUGCCCACCCCUAUUUAUGGAUAAAAUUUGAUUUUAUUAAUAUAAAAUUUAUUUUACUAAUGUCUAGGUCUAUUUUAUUUUAAAUUCAUUUUCUUUUAAGAAUUUUAUAUGUCAUGUGUUAUUUUGAACAAAAAUAUCAUUUAAUAUUAAUUAACAUAAUUUUUAUAUAUUUAUCAACCACCUUUAUAUACUUUUACAUACACAUACAUGUGGACUUUGACGUAAACACCUUAUAACUAAAUAUUCACCACAACUGAAGUAUCUAAUUUUCUUGGUAGUUGAAAUAUAAUUUUUCUUAAUGCUUAUGUCUCUAUCGACCAAAUUGUAAUGAAAUGAUUUGUUUUAAUAAUUUUAUUUUCUUUUUCUUUAACUAUUAUAUAUCCGUUUAGAAGCUACAAUAAGAAACCAUUGGUUCGACAUCAAAACUAUCUAAAAUUCAGAACAUGAAAGCAAACAAAUAAUAGUAAAUUUUGGUUAUCACCGGAAAAACCAAAAACAUAAAACAUUUCAACUGAACAAACCAAAAUAAAUAUUGAUUUAGAAUGAUUGUUAUAUUUUAGGAAAUUCAAUCUAACUUAAAACCAAACCGAUA
rnacentral:lncRNA from 1 species